rnacentral:ncRNA from 1 species
UCUUAUCCAGAGAGGUGGAGGGACUGGCCCUUCGAAGCCUCGGCAACAGGCAAUUACUGCACUGUGCCAAUUCCAGUAGCAAGAUGCUAGAAGAUAAGG